AUUGAACGCUGGCGGCAGGCCUAACACAUGCCAGUCGAGCGGAUGAAGGGAGCUUGCUCCUGGAUUCAGCGGCGGACGGGUGAGUAAUGCCCAGGAAUCUGCCUGGUAGUGGGGGAUAACGUCCGGAAACGGGCGCUAAUACCGCAUACGUCCUGAGGGAGAAAGUGGGGGAUCUUCGGACCUCACGCUAUCAGAUGAGCCUAGGUCGGAUUAGCUAGUUGGUGGGGUAAAGGCCUACCAAGGCGACGAUCCGUAACUGGUCUGAGAGGAUGAUCAGUCACACUGGAACUGAGACACGGUCCAGACUCCUACGGGAGGCAGCAGUGGGGAAUAUUGGACAAUGGGCGAAAGCCUGAUCCAGCCAUGCCGCGUGUGUGAAGAAGGUCUUCGGAUUGUAAAGCACUUUAAGUUGGGAGGAAGGGCAGUAAGUUAAUACCUUGCUGUUUUGACGUUACCAACAGAAUAAGCACCGGCUAACUUCGUG
rnacentral:rRNA from 1 species